UACGGGGGGGGCAAGCGUUGUUCGGAAUUACUGGGCGUAAAGGGCUCGUAGGCGGCCAACUAAGUCGGAUGUGAAAUCCCCAGGCUUAACCUGGGAACUGCAUCCGAUACUGGAUGGCUUGAAUUCGGGAGAGGGAUGCAGAAUUCCAGGUGUAGCGGUGAAAUGCGUAGAGAUCGGGAGGAACACCAGAGGCGAAGGCGGCGACCUGGACAGAUACUGACACUCAACUACGAAAGCGUGGGGAGCAAACAGG
rnacentral:rRNA from 1 species